GCCAGACUCCUACGGGAGGCAGCAGUGGGGGGUAUUGGACAAUGGGGGAAACCCUGAUCCAGCGACGCCGCGUGAGUGAAGAAGUAUUUCGGUAUGUAAAGCUCUGUCAGCAGGGAAGAAAGAAAUGACGGUACCUGACCAAGAAGCCCCGGCUAACUACGUGCCAGCAGCCGCGGUAAUACGUAGGGGGCAAGCGUUAUCCGGAAUUACUGGGUGUAAAGGGAGCGUAGACGGUGAUGCAAGUCUGGAGUGAAAGGCGGGGGCCCAACCCCCGGACUGCUCUGGAAACUGUAUGACUUGAGUGCAGGAGAGGUAAGCGGAAUUCCUAGUGUAGCGGUGAAAUGCGUAGAUAUUAGGAGGAACACCAGUGGCGAAGGCGGCUUACUGGACUGUAACUGACGUUGAGGCUCGAAAGCGUGGGGAGCAAACAGGAUUAGAUACCCCAGUA
rnacentral:rRNA from 1 species